rnacentral:rRNA from 1 species
CGUAGGUGGCAAGCGUUGUCCGGAAUUAUUGGGCGUAAAGCGCGCGCAGGCGGUCCUUUAAGUCUGAUGUGAAGCCCACGGCUCAACCGUGGAGGGUCAUUGGAAACUGGAGGACUUGAGUGCAGAAGAGGAAAGUGGAAUUCCAAGUGUAGCGGUGAAAUGCGUAGAGAUUUGGAGGAACACCAGUGGCGAAGGCGACUUUCUGGUCUGUAACUGACGCUGAGGCGCGAAAGCGUGGGGGAGGCAAACAGGAUU